AUUGAACGCUGGCGGCAUGCCUUACACAUGCAAGUCGAACGGCAGCACGGGAGCAAUCCUGGUGGCGAGUGGCGAACGGGUGAGUAAUAUAUCGGAACGUGCCCAGUCGUGGGGGAUAACGUAGCGAAAGCUACGCUAAUACCGCAUACGAUCUAUGGAUGAAAGCGGGGGAUCGCAAGACCUCGCGCGAUUGGAGCGGCCGAUAUCAGAUUAGGUAGUUGGUGAGGUAAAGGCUCACCAAGCCGACGAUCUGUAGCUGGUCUGAGAGGACGACCAGCCACACUGGGACUGAGACACGGCCCAGACUCCUACGGGAGGCAGCAGUGGGGAAUUUUGGACAAUGGGCGCAAGCCUGAUCCAGCAAUGCCGCGUGCAGGAUGAAGGCCUUCGGGUUGUAAACUGCUUUUGUACGGAACGAAACGGCGAGCUCUAAUACAGUUUGCUAAUGACGGUACCGUAAGAAUAAGCACCGGCUAACUACGUGCCAGCAGCCGCCGUAA
rnacentral:rRNA from 1 species